GUUUACAGUUGAGUGUCAUCUUGUCUGCAUCUGUUUCAAAUUAAAAAAACAUGCAAGCAUUCAUGAAUUUCUGGCUUGCAUUUACUUAAAAAAUAUAAUUCUCGGAUUUAGUUUUAUGCAAGUGAUGAUACAUGAAGAAAAACCUUGCAAUAUCUGUCGGUUUAACUCCGCAAUAAUAUAAGAAAACGUCCAAAAAAAUUUCUUGUGCAACAAUUCAUGAAAAAGUUGCAAUUAACCGAUUGUUUUUCGAUCCCAAUAUUUGAACAAAAAUGUGAGAAAUUUCGUAUUUGCGCACUGAAAGGGAAUGCCUUAGGGAAUACCUUUAUAAACAAUUUACGUUCUUCAUGGUCUAAAGACACAAUGAUGCAAAGCUGCAAACAGACGUAAGCUAUAACAAAGAUAACAUAGACAGACACGAAAAUAAAUUGAGACUGCUUACUGGACAUUGAAGUUUUCCAUGUCCUCAACCAAGUUCUCGUAAUCUGGUACCGAUAUGUGUAACAAAUCAUCGAUGGUGUAAAGAUACAAUGAUGAAUACUUGCAAAUAUUAAGCUGGACCAUACUGGACCAACUCGCAAUAUCAGCUGAUCUCACAACUGGAUGAACCUGCAACAUUGACGACGGAUUUACUUGGAUCAACGUGUACUACAAAUCGGAUUAUGCUGGAUUUAUCGACGAUUUCAAGUUGAGGAUUAACGGAGCUACCCUACCUACAUUGAGAUACGACGACAUCAAUACAUCACGGGCUGUAAAGAUGCGACGACAGAUGAAGAGGAAGUCUAAAAACUCUCAGGUUCAUACUAUAGGUACUAUAGGUACUGUAGUUCAAUCUCGUGUCCAGAACUCGUAGACAAGUAGUGCAUGACUAAUAUCGGUUAUUGUUCUGGAUUCGAGAUCUCCUGGUGGUAUCCGUCGGAAGUAUUUACACAUUCGAG